rnacentral:rRNA from 1 species
CUAGCUCCGGGGGAGCGUGCUUGGCCCUCGCUCCGGAGGAGCGCUUUUUUUUAUAGACUGCUAGGUCCGACGGGAGCUAGCAGAGCGAUGCUCCUGCUCUUGGUACGGGGUCGGCGGUAUCACCUCGGGAUGCGGCGGCGGCUCUAGCCUCUCCUCGGCGGCGACGGCUCCAAGCUCUCCUCGACCGGUGGUGCUGGAGGGAGGGGUCCGCCGGCGGUGGUGGGGGAGGGGUUCGUCGGUACAUGUCGUCCCGCCGCGGGUGCGCGGACCGGAUACAUCCAGAGCCGGAGGGAGGAGGGAAGCAGGUUCCGGUCCUCGAGGGGGAGGGGCUGGGCUAGACCACCUCUCUCCCGGUCCGGAACGGUGAGGCCACCAGCGAUACCGGUCUAGACAGGCCCCAUCAGCGGCAUCUCGGAGAUACCGCCGCCUCAUCGUCGUCGGGCUGUCUUCCACCCACGGUCUAGCAGCAGGUCGUCGAGCGGCAGCCUCGAAGAGUGAUGUCCGCUACCUCCGGCCACGAUGAGCCAGAUAGAUACUACAAACAAAGGACACAAAUGUACCGUCUCACUAACGACGUGACCGAAAACCGAUACCUACGUUCAACCCUUGAGUAAGUCACUAAACUCCCACGUCCAUCCCUACUACGACGCCUACCCUACCCUUCUACACACACACACGAUCGACGAAGUGUAUGCUGAGUCUCUUUCUUAACGAAACGUCCAACGGUUGUAGUGCUUAAAGUAUGAAUACCUCACCUCGGUGGUUUGUUAAAUACUCUAAAGGCGGUACCUGCGGCGGAGCGAGUACCCGAGGAGGAGGUGGCUGCGUGCGUGGCUGCCCCUCGUGGCCUACCCGUAGUGGUAGUACCCGCAGACGAUGCUGCCGCCGCAGGAGCGGCGACUGUGAGUCCUGGUCGUGGCCAUGGGGGGGGGGAGCGCCUAGGUUGUCGUCGCCGAUCCAGUCCCAGCCUCUACCGCGUAGCCGGUAGGCUAAGGCGGCCAGCAUCUAGUUUGUCUCCCGCACUAUUUCAGGUCGUCUUCACCACCGGCCCUAAAAAUGACAAUUAAGCUAGACGUUUUGUCACUAGUUAUAUCAUAUACACGUCAUUUUAUCUGUACAACGACUAUCACAACAUCAUCACACACUAAACCAACGUAUCAAAAGAUUACCUUUGUUCACUUUUUGAGAAACUAAAAGACUAAAGAAAUACGAACGUCUCUCCAAGGUGCUGAAGCCAAACCGAUAGUAGUUUUAACCUCCUCUCGGGCUACGUAACCUCUCGUAGUAGGCGCUCAAGGUGUCCUAGCUUAACUCGCUUCAUCGUAAAGACCAUUUUACCUAUCUAUCCCCAGAGAUUGUCUACAAUGGUAUACAAUAACUUAGAGUUCUAUCCGUUCAUAGAGACUGUCUACAAUCGUAUAUAAGAACGUAGAGCUCUACUAUAACCUAUCGAACGCACACGUAUAAAGAGUUCCUAUUAACUAAAUACACUAUACCGACGU